GCUCUAGCUCAGUUGGUUAGAGUGUGGUGCUAAUAAUGCCAAGGUUACAGGUUCGAUCCCUGUAUGGGACA